ensembl:lncRNA
CUUGGAACUGCUCCAGUUUGCAAACUCCUCCCUUCCACCCUGAUGUUCUCUGCUUGUGUUUGCUCUGUACUGACAGCUACCAAGUGUCCAUGCUGUUGGUGAGCUGAGGGCUUUCUCUUAUGGAUGUGGGAAUAGUGAUGCUUGGAUGGGGUGCCACCGAGAUGUCAGUGUCUCUUCCCAACAGGGCGGGGAGAGGAGGGAACAAAAUCAACAUAACAUCUGACUUGGACAACACACUGAAUGACUGGCUGUGGUGCAUCAUGAAUCCCAGUUUCUUUUGCACGACCAAGUAGGGAGGGUCUAUUUUAAACAUCUGGCCCAGGAUCCUUUCUAGAGCGCUCUGAGUUGUCACUGAACUAAAGGUUCCUGACAAUAGCUGUGUGAUGAAGAAAGCUUCACUAUCCUUUUCUUUGAUCCAGCUAAGCUCCACCCUCUGCAGCGCUCUGGUUUCCAGGUGAAAUCUCAUUACCAGAGGGCUUCCCAGAGAGCCCAUUAGUAGUGCUGCCUUUGCAGCUGGGGAGGUCACAGUGCACCCUCCCACCCAGCUGAGCUAGCUGCUCUCCAAAUCACUCCU